CUCUCAUUAUUCUUCAAAUUAAAGACAUUUAGUUUAGCUCUACAUCAUCUUCUCUUUUUCUUCAUAUUAAAGAUAUUUACUGUCAGAGGCUUCAACAAAUUUUCAGGUAUUGUGAUCCAAAGACAGGGCUGUCUUAUGCUACAAAAGAAGUAUUCAAAAUCAUUCUCCAACAGUUAAACAGUUCACGUACGCACAAACUUUUUGGAUUGCAUUGAGGAGUCAUUGGAAUGGAAUAUUAGAUAAGUUCGGGUGAGAGACUUUACAAGAAUUAUUAUAUGUAUUAAACCUCACAUAAAGUGGUUGUUAUCUAAGAAACUGUUGUAAAAAAAUUUCUUUUGUAAUAGAAACUAUAUUUCUUUUGUAUACAA